rnacentral:rRNA from 1 species
AACAAACGCUGGCGGCGUGCCUAACACAUGCAAGUCGUACGAGAAAGGGUCCUUCGGGGCCUGAGUAAAGUGGCGCACGGGUGAGUAACGCGUGGAUAAUCUGCCCUUCAGUUGGGAAUAACCCAUCGAAAGGUGGGUUAAUACCGAAUACUGCUGUGAGACCUCGGUUGACCAGCCAAAGAGUGCAUCUGCUUGCAAGCCCUCGUUGAAGGAUGAGUUCGCGUACCAUUAGCUAGUUGGUAGGGUAAUGGCCUACCAAGGCGACGAUGGUUAGCUAGGCUGAGAGGAUGAUCAGCCACACUGGAACUGAGACACGGUCCAGACUCCUACGGGAGGCAGCAGUGAGGAAUCUUGCGCAAUGGGGGCAACCCUGACGCAGCAACGCCGCGUGAGUGAGGAAGGUCUUCGGAUCGUAAAGCUCUGUCGGAUGGAAAGAACCGCAUAGGGGUAAACAGCCCCUGUGUCUGACGGUACCAUCAAAGGAAGCACCGGCUAACUCCGUGCCAGCCGCCGCCGUAAAAC